rnacentral:lncRNA from 1 species
GUUGAGAACAUUCCUUCAGGGAUCUCAGAUCAUGCUCCAAUUAUGGUUACAAUUACAAGUAAGAUUACUAAUCCUAAGAAAUCUCACAGCUUCAGAUUUCUGAACUGCUUGACUAAGGAGGAAGAAUUCCUCCACAUUGUAAAAUAGAGUUGGGAAGUCAGCCUCAAAGGAAAACCCAUAUAUUGCUUGUGGAUGAAAUUGAAAAGGUUGCAACCCGUCUGAAGCAGUUAGGCAAAAAAUUCUCAACAAUCUCGGAUAAAAUACUAAUAGCUAGGGGAAGGUUGAAUGAGGCUCAAGAAUAGUUACAACAUGAUCAAUUCAACACAACUCUGACUCAGGAUGUGAAAGUAUGCACUGAUAAUUUAAUGAAACUUCACAAGUCAGAGGAAGAGAUGUUGAAGCAGAAAUCCAAGGUCAACUGGUUACAACUUGGUGAUGGCAACAACUCCUUUUCCAUGCAACUGUGAAAGACAAUUCAAGAAAGAAAGACAUGACUAAACUGACAAUAGUAGAAGCUAAAGUAGUCUAUACACAGGGAGAGAUGGAACAAGAAGUCUUAUCUUUCUACAACAACCUGGUUGGUACAAACUCUACUCAUAAAACAGGGGUGAAUCUAAUUGCUUUGAGAAACGGUAACUUUAUCAACAGGGAAAUGGCCAACAAUAUGAUUCAAAGGAUUAAUGAAAAAGAGGUGUGGGAGGCACUGCAAAAUAUUGGUGAUAACAAGGCUCCUAGAAUUGAUGGAUACAGCUCACACUUUUUCAAAAAUAAUAGGGGCAUAGUGAAAUAUGAUGUGCUUAGGGCUAUUAAUGAAUUCUUCUAAGAUGAAAAACUAUACCCUGCUGUAAACUGCACUCUGGUGACUAUUCUGCCCAAAUUCAAUGAUGCUAGUACAUUGAAGGAUAUGAGGCCAAUUUCGUGCUGCACUACCAUCUAUAAGAUCAUCUCAAAGAUCCUCACAAAAAGGCUGGGCAAAUUGAUUGGUCAUGUGGUUGAUGAUAGCCAAUUAGCAUUUGUUCCUGGUAGAGUCAUACGUGGCAACAUCAUCUUGGCCCAAGAACUGGUGUGAGGUUAUGGCAGGAAGGGUAUCUACCCUAGAUGCAUGAUACAAAUGGACAUUCAGAAGGCAUAUGAUACACUAGAAUGGGAUGCAUUCAAAAGUAUUCUUAUGGAGCUUGGGUUUCCUAAGCAAUUUACCAGAUGGACUAUGCUCUGUAUUGAAACUAUGUCCUACAGAUAUUCUAUGAAUGGCUCACCCAUGUUGUUUGUCAUGGUCAUGGAAUACUUGCAUAGGGUGGUCAAAGAACUGAAUAAUAUCCCUGAUUUCAACUUCCACCCCAAAUGUGAGCAGUUGGAAAUUACAAACCUUUGUUUUGCGGAUGACCUUCUCCUAUUUACCAAAGGAGACCAAAAAAUUGUAGCUCUAAUCAUGGACAAAGUCAACAAAUUUUCUAAUAGCACAUGCUUAAAGGCUAGUCAUGCUAAGUAUAAAGUCUACUUGGGAGGGGUUGACAAGCAAACCCAGAAAAGCAUCCUGCAUGCUACUGGAUUCACAAUGGGAUCCCUACCAUUUAAAUACCUUGGGGUUCCUCUUGCUAGUAAAAAGCUUACUGUGGACCUAUGCUCCCCCUGAUUGAGAGAAUAACAAGCAGGAUGAGCCAUUGGAGCACAAGACUUCUUAGUUAUGCAGGUAGACUACAACUCAUAAAAAGUGUUAUGUUUACCAUCACUAAUUAUUGGAUGCAGGUGUUCCCCAUACCAAAACAGGUCCUCAAACACCUAGAAGCCAGAUGUAGAAAAUUCUUAUGGACAUGGAAAGAAUAUGGCUGUAGGAAAGCACCUAUGUCUUGGGAGCAUUUAUGUGACCCAAAACAGGCUGGGGGGUGGAACCUAAUAGCUCUUAUAGACUAGAACAAAGCCACUAUGGCUAAAUUAUUAUGGAAUCUUGCCUCAAAAUCGGAGAAACUGUGGGUAAGAUGGAUCCAUACCUAUUACUUGAAGGGUGCUGAAAUCUCAUAGUUCCAGCCAGGUUCUAACUGCUCCUGGAUUUUGAAGGUUAUGCUGAAGUACAGACCCAUGAUUAUGCACACUUUAAGCUGGACUGAUGCUAUUUCAACUAAUAAAUUCAGAACCAAAUAGAUGUAUAGGGAACUUCGUGGUCCUAAAGACAGGGUUAUCUGGAGGAAUCUAUCCUAUGCCAACAUAGCUAGACCCCCAUGCUCAGUUUAUCCUAUGGUUGGACUACCAACAAAGACUUCCGACGAAAGACAGGCUUCUCAGAUAUGGCAUUACAACAGAUGGACUUUGUGCUCUCUGCAGUUUAGAUGAAAGUGAUGAACACCUCUUCUUCACCUGUCCCAUUUCUACCUCUAUAAGGCAAUAUGUACUAAAGUGGUUGAGAUACAACCAUAGGCCUAGGGAUGGGAGGAAGAACUGAAUUGGAUAAUUAAGCAAUCUAAGGGGAAGAACAUGUGAUGCAAGUUGUUAAAGGGGGCUGCAGCUGAAACAGUAUACUCUAUUUGGAAUAUGAAAAACCUUUGUAUCUUUCAAGGUGGGGAAUUAAUGUAGAUUUGGGC